UGGGGAAUAUUGCACAAUGGGCGCAAGCCUGAUGCAGCCAUGCCGCGUGCGUGAAGAAGGCCUUCGGGUUGUAAAGCACUUUCAGCGAGGAGGAAGGCAUAAAGGUUAAUAACCUUUGUGAUUGACGUUACUCGCAGAAGAAGCACCGGCUAACUCCGUGCCAGCAGCCGCGGUAAUACGGAGGGUGCAAGCGUUAAUCGGAAUUACUGGGCGUAAAGCGCACGCAGGCGGUUUGUUAAGUCAGAUGUGAAAUCCCCGCGCUUAACGUGGGAACUGCAUUUGAAACUGGCAAGCUAGAGUCUUGUAGAGGGGGGUAGAAUUCCAGGUGUAGCGGUGAAAUGCGUAGAGAUCUGGAGGAAUACCGGUGGCGAAGGCGGCCCCCUGGACAAAGACUGACGCUCAGGUGCGAAAGCGUGGGGAGCAAACA
rnacentral:rRNA from 1 species